rnacentral:tRNA from 1 species
AACAAAGAAGUAAAUUUAUACAUUUAGUUUCGACCUAAAAUUUAGGGUUGCAUACCCCAUGUUU